GACGAACCGUGCGAACGUUAUUCGGAAUCACUGGGCUUAAAGCGCGUGUAGGCGGGACGGCACGUCCGUCGCUGAAAUCCCCCGGCUCAACCGGGGAACUGGCGGGGAUACGACCGUCCUGGAGGGACGUAGGGGGACCUGGAACUUCCGGUGGAGCGGUGAAAUGCGUUGAGAUCGGAAGGAACGCCCGUGGCGAAAGCGAGGUCCUGGACGUUUUCUGACGCUGAGGCGCGAAAGCGUGGGGAGCAAACAGG
rnacentral:rRNA from 1 species